ACUAGUGCUGCUGAUGCUUCUUCUCUUAAUGCGAGAGCUUACUGCUUUAGCUGCAUACUAGCUAGCAGGUGUUGAAAUUGGACAUCGCACUCUCCAAUUUUACUUUUUUUUUCCACUGUACAAUAGUUGCGAUUCUAUUUCGCUCCCAUGCUCCCAGAAGUGUUUUCUGCGUCUCAAAAAAAAAAAGUGCUUUCUGCGUCUCAAAAAAGAAAAGAAAAAAAAGGCAUAGAGAUAGAGGGGGAGUCCGGCGCAUACAGUACAGUAGAGCGCAUGCCCGCAGUGCCAAGGGGUAUUUCCUAUCAAAAGAAAUAAAAUAGCGAGCCAGAACGCAGCGGAGGAAAGCGGGAAUAUUUUCCUCAUAGGGCAAGAAACGGUCGGGGCGGUGGU
rnacentral:lncRNA from 1 species